UACAGAGGGGGCAAGCGUUAUUCGGAAUUAUUGGGCGUAAAGGGCGCGUAGGCGGCUCUCUUGGUCGUGGGUGAAAUCCCCCAGCUUAACUGGGGAAGGGCUUACGAUACCGGGGGGCUCGAGGGAGGAAGGGGCGGUCGGAACUGUCGGUGGAGCGGUGAAAUGCGUUGAUAUCGACAGGAACGCCGGUGGCGAAAGCGGACCGCUGGCCCUCUUCUGACGCUGAGGCGCGAAAGCCAGGGGAGCGAACGGG
rnacentral:rRNA from 1 species